UGAAUCAUUGACGAGCUUAGCAAGAGGCGAACUCAGCCUCUUCGGACACGUCACGGGCAUCGGUGAGUGGAACGACGGGUGGACAGAGACCCGCGGAGGAAAGCAUGGCCACUAGUGACCACGAUCUCAAAUGCAAGAGACCAUUCUAACGCCUGGAUGAACAGUAUAAAGACAGAGAGCAAAACCUUUACUGCGAACUACCCAUAUUCAGGUAACCCGAACUACAGAGGACUAACGAUGAAAGCUCAUUGGUAGCGAAAAUGUUCGUGUACGGGAAACGUUAUGGUCUACAUUCUAAUGCGGACACGCGCACACACACGCGCUCUUCAUUUCGUGCUGGGAGCCAGCUGACCGAUGGAACACCCAACGAUGGUGGCAGACGUAAAACUCGGAACAUUCAGGUUAGGCUGUUGAAACAGGCCGGAUGUGUUGGGUUCGGGGUGCGCCUCCCGAGUCAUGGUAACCAGGCGUCCGGCAGUGGAAGUGACGCAAAUCGUGAAACGCGCAUUAGGUGACGACAUGUCGGUUCGUUUGCCCACUCCAUCAACUCUGCCUUGCUUAUUUUGUCGCUGUAGUAUUUGAACGCUGAUCGGAUGAUCCAACAAAAUAGAUGGACAAUCUAUUAACUCAUGGUACCUACCUCGAAUAUCCUCUGGAUGCGUACUGGAAGUAGCCAGUCCUAGGACACAGGCCAACAGCAGCAACAGCAGCAGAAAUUGAAGUACCGCACCCACGUGAGAAAGAGGAUCAGCCAACAGCGGAGAAGAGUCGGCGUCAUCUUAUCGGUGCUACCCCCAGAUCAGCUACCUCAAUCAGGUGCAUAAGGAGAACAAGAAAGUUGUUCUUUUUUAUUCCACAAUCUGUCGCUAUGUUAUUUCAUUAUGGCUUGCUUUUUCUCUCUCUGUGCUGGUCAAAUUAAUUAUUACUUGGUCAGAGUAGA